rnacentral:tRNA from 1 species
GAGGGUAUAGCUCACGUGGUAGAGCGCAUGCUUAGCAUGCAUGAGUUCCUGGGUUCUAAUCCCCAGUACCUCCU